GCCCUUAGAGUUUGAUCCUGGCUCAGGAUGAACGCUGGCGGCGCGCCUAACACAUGCAAGUCGAACGGCACCCCUCUCCGGAGGGAAGCGAGUGGCGAACGGCUGAGUAACACGUGGAGAACCUGCCCCCUCCCCCGGGAUAGCCGCCCGAAAGGACGGGUAAUACCGGAUACCCCCGGGGCGCCGCAUGGCACCCCGGCUAAAGCCCCGACGGGAGGGGAUGGCUCCGCGGCCCAUCAGGUAGACGGCGGGGUGGCGGCCCACCGUGCCGACAACGGGUAGCCGGGUUGAGAGACCGACCGGCCAGAUUGGGACUGAGACACGGCCCAGACUCCUACGGGAGGCAGCAGUGGGGAAUCUUGCGCAAUGGGGGGAACCCUGACGCAGCGACGCCGCGUGCGGGACGGAGGCCUUCGGGUCGUAAACCGCUUUCAGCAGGGAAGAGUCAAGACUGUACCUGCAGAAGAAGCCCCGGCUAACUACGUGCCAGCAGCCGCGGUAAUACGUAGGGGGCGAGCGUUAUCCGGAUUCAUUGGGCGUAAAGCGCGCGUAGGCGGCCCGGCAGGCCGGGGGUCGAAGCGGGGGGCUCAACCCCCCGAAGCCCCCGGAACCUCCGCGGCUUGGGUCCGGUAGGGGAGGGUGGAACACCCGGUGUAGCGGUGGAAUGCGCAGAUAUCGGGUGGAACACCGGUGGCGAAGGCGGCCCUCUGGGCCGAGACCGACGCUGAGGCGCGAAAGCUGGGGGAGCGAACAGGAUUAGAUACCCUGGUAGUCCCAGCCGUAAACGAU
rnacentral:rRNA from 1 species